CUUGAGCUUGAGCUUGAUUGAUCACCACCGGUUGCCACUUCGUUACUGAUCAGGAUCGAUUGGAGUUGUAAAUCGAAUUUAGUGAUUCCUGCUUGGGAUUUAGCUUUUCGAUGUGCAUCUCCAAUAACCCCUGCAUGCUGAUCAGUACCGACGCCUGCCGGUCCAGAACGUAGAUCAAAGGAAGGAAGGAAAGGGGUGUUAGUUCGAUACUUGUUGUUACUAGAGGCCGGAUAUACUCCUGCACACUCCACAAGCACCACGGGAGUACGACGGGAAUAACGAGCUUUGUACUAAUAGAGGAACUGACCGACCCUUCCAAUUUUGAACCCGACGUGCACGCACUUUCCCGAGUGACGGGAUACAAGCGAAUCGUGGAGGUUAAGUAAUUUCGGUUACCUUACGUAUCGUACGACUCUACGCGUUUCUGCUCAUGAACACCUUAAUUUACCCAUUCACGAAUCAAUGAGUAGCUUUAUUUCGUAAGACGUUAAACUUUAUUCGGAAACUGUAAGCCGACCGCAAUUUUAG